CAAGAAAGUGGUCAAAACUUUGACUAUGUGUAUUGGGACGACCCCAAUGAAUUAGUAGAUCGCCUUAGACUGUUACACGCUUCGCUUUGUGCAGGAAACUAUUCACACAUCAACUAAAUAGUCUCCAUACUCGAAGAACUGAGGGAAGCCAGCUACGUACAAUGAGUAGAACCGGAAUCGCUCACGAACUUCAUGCUCCUGCUAGACGAAAAUACCUCGUCGCAAAGUUAUAGUUCACGGAAUUGAUGUUUUAUUCCAGGCGGACCUUGUUGAGAUGAUACUAUAUUCCCGAUUGAAUAAAGGUUUCAAGUACAUGUUGACAGUAAUCGAUAUUUUUAGCAAGUUUGCUUGGGCUAGACCUGUAAAUUCAAAGACUGCCACUGAAGUAGCAGAGGCCAUGAACAAACGGAUCUCUGGAAAGAAUUCUACAAUGCAGCCUUCAAGGCUUUGAUGAAGAAGUAUGGCACCAAACACUACUCUACAUUUAGUAAUGUCAAAGCCUCCGUUGUCGAAAGGUUUAACAGAACUUUGCGUUCCAAGAUGUGGCGACAGUUCACGGUUAAUGGAAAUUACAAGUGGGUUACAAGGCAACAGGCUACAUGACUAUAUGACUAAGCAGCUACAAGACUACAAGAAAACAAUACUACGAGGCUACAGGACUACAAGUCUACGAGGCAACAGGACUAUGAGCCUACGAGACUACGAGACUACGAGACUACGAAGUUAAGAGACUACGGGUCUACAAGACAACAGGCUACGAAGCUACAAGACUGCGAGGCUAUUGACUACGAUGCUACAGGACUACAAGAUUACGAGGCAACAGUACUAUGACACUACGAGUGAGUCUACGAGGCUUCAACUAUCUACGAGACUGCGAGGCCACAAUUCCGUUCUUUGACUUCCGUUCCAUUUUCAAUAAAUUAAUCCUACCAAAUGCUGUAUACUGUAAACUAAAAUGUUUACACAUCAUAAAAUGUUAAUUUUAAAAAUAAAAUUCUUUGAGCGUAUGCAUAGAGGAGAAGCUGGUAUCUAAUUCAGUCGGCGCAGUUGUUUACGUUCCUUCCAAGAGCCGGCCAGCGUGUCCGAGCCAACACCGAUGCCACUCGGCUGUCUGCAGGGAAGUCUCUGUCUCAGUGCUCUGCGACUGCCGUGCUCAGCCGUCACACACCUCCAGUUGUACAGACUCUGUAUGAACUAUCAGAGAAAGUUAAAAUGAGACUACUUUUUGACAAAUUAUCUCUCUGCUUUUGUUGUGCUUCACAUUUUGUUUGGGUCGCCGAUUGGCUCGGAAAUAAUUAUUUUGGUAAUUUUACACGUAAGUUGGUACUGCUACUUUUGCACAUUUGAAUGGGUUAUUUGUAUUGUGUAAUUUAACGGUAGUUUUAAGUUUUAAUUAAGUUUAUAACCUUAAUUUUUUUGUAGGAGUAUUUAGAACAUGGCCUUUUUCAGUUCACGCUAUUGCCAAUAUUUUGGCUGGUGUGUCACGUGUGUGUACUGUACGCCACCUCGCCGUGUGAUGGAAAAGAGGGGAAGUGAGCUCUGUCGAACGGCUGAGCGAGUGGGGGAGGAGAGGUGUUGGUCAAUUGGUUUCUGUGUGGAGCGGAACAAUACACCGUGUUUGUGGAAAGACGGCGCCCUUUGCGAGUUUGCGUUAUUUCGCUAGAAGAAGGAGACGCCGAUGAUACGCCAAGCAAGGGGGUGUUGGUCGCUAGAUUUUGUGGCGAGCGGGCAACCACAUUUUCGCAGGCCGUGUGGGCCGCAAACACUGCCAAUAGCGUACGCUGGGACUUAGCGUACGAUGAUCGUGAUGGGUAAGCUGCAAUCAAGACUUCGAUCAAGUUUGCUCCUUCCUCUACUCGUGGAAUUGUGGAUCCGUGAGUGCCUUGGCAUCUGGUGGUGGAAGCUGCAACUACUGUUUGGGAGUCUUGUGUAGUGAUCGGCCUCCCCAACCUCAGCGUGUUUUGGGACAUUGUUGUGGUAGCUACGCAUCCAUAACGAACAGGACUUACCCCUGAAGUGACUUUCACUCGCGAUACAUGCCUGUUUAGUGGGUGGCCGAUCCCACAGGCUCUCCACUUGAAAAAAAAACGUGCUCGCGCCCCACCCAGAGCCGUGCAGUGAAGGGAAUAACCACGUGACUGAGAAGCGGUCAUGUGACCCAUCACAUGACCAUCCUCCCCCCCAUCGGUCCGGACUGAAGUAGGAGUAACCACGAGGUUCUGGAUGGUCGGAGAACAUAGGGUAAGGGGGCCCGAGAGAUAUAUAGACCCCGACCUCGCUGCUUAAGGUGCAGUCCAUCAGCAGAAUAUCGGUGACCAUUGGAAGCGCUGCACCGCCACAACAAGACCUGCCGCCGCCCUGCCUGGACCAACAAGAAGACCAUCACUCUGCCCGAACGAACACUGAACUCCGGUACGGGACUUAGCCUCUGCGAAGGAUAAGCUGGACUUAGCUAUUUUUCGUCGUCAGUCUGAUUUAGCCCAAUUCGCAAGGAGCAACGCCGGAGUGCUACAAGGUGGUCAACGACUAAGUGCCAAAGGUAUUGAACAAUGCAUAGAGGGUUGACUGUGUGUCGACCAAGAGACUCGUUGGAAAAGGGAUUGAGGAGGGCACCAGGUAUUAGCAUGUCCGAGACAGAGUCGAACAAUAACAUUGGGCAAUGGUAUGGGCAAGUGCAUGUUGACAAUGUGGUCAGACAGAGACUGGCAAACAAAGACUGUGUGUGACAACUCCCGAUUUAGAUUUGUGUACACCAUUAUUGACACACACAUCGUAUAGCAGUGUUCACUCGGAAGUUACGAGACACUAGAGUGUGACAAGUGCCGACAUCGCUAAAGCCCAGCCAAGGGGAUUAGUGGCAUGUCCUUUUCAACUCUCUUCGCAGUCAUCAAGGGAACUUCAGGUUCCUGGACAGCAGUGCACCAACGAAGUCCAUCCACGACAUCGUUAGGGAAGCAGGGCGCUGUAUGGCCAGCGCACAUCUGACAGUGACGACUCGGCGAGCGACGCCAGGGACAGGACGACCCAACUAGUGUUGAGGCGAGUGUCGGGGUAUUUUGAUAAUGCGAGGGGUCUAUAACAAGUAAAUUUUGUUGUAAGCCACAAGGCGGCCUUGAACUUACUUUUAAUGCAUAAUAAUAUUUUUUAAAACAACUAAGGACAUAAUGGUCUUUUGUAAUUUUUCUAUUAUAUAUACCUAUAUCAUUAAGCUACAUACAUUGUAACUCGCUGUUGUUUCUUAGAGUAUGCGAGCUUAAGAAUUUUAAGAAAAUUUAUAAGUCUUGGUAAUAAUUAAAUAUGCUGCAUUUUUGUAUCAUGUUAAUUGUUAACAUAUGUGUUAAUUUUUGUGUUGGCAGCCAACUGGUAUAUUCAAGCGAGACCAGCCCAAGAACGAAUAUUAAUAUUCGAAGACAACUUGAGAGGGUCAUAUUAACAUGUUUAUUCUCUCUCAUUAAUUUAUUUUAAUAAAUCUUGCUACUCUCACAA